rnacentral:rRNA from 1 species
UACGAAGAGGGCUAGCGUUGCUCGGAAUCACUGGGCGUAAAGGGUGCGUAGGCGGGUCUUUAAGUCAGGGGGUGAAAUCUUUGGGCUCAACCCGGAAACUGCCAUUGAUACUAUGUGCCUUGAAUGUCGUUUGAGGUCUGCGGAAUAUGUCAUGUAGCGGUGAAAUGCUUAGAUAUGACAUAGAACACCCAUUGCGAAGGCAGCAGGCUAAAACGAAAA